CCAUGCCGCGUGUAUGAAGAAGGCCUUCGGGUUGUAAAGUACUUUCAGUUGUGAGGAAGGGGGUAGUGUUAAUAGCGCUAUCUCUUGACGUUAGCAACAGAAGAAGCACCGGCUAACUCCGUGCCAGCAGCCGCGGUAAUACGGAGGGUGCGAGCGUUAAUCGGAAUUACUGGGCGUAAAGCGCAUGCAGGUGGUUCAUUAAGUCAGAUGUGAAAGCCCGGGGCUCAACCUCGGAACUGCAUUUGAAACUGGUGAACUAGAGUACUGUAGAGGGGGGUAGAAUUUCAGGUGUAGCGGUGAAAUGCGUAGAGAUCUGAAGGAAUACCAGUGGCGAAGGCGGCCCCCUGGACAGAUACUGACACUCAGAUGCGAAAGCGUGGGGAGCAAACAGGAUUAGAUACCCUGGUAGUCCACGCCGUAAACGAUGUCUACUUGGAGGUUGUGGCCUUGAGCCGUGGCUUUCGGAGCUAACGCGUUAAGUAGACCGCCUGGGGAGUACGGUCGCAAGAUUAAAACUCAAAUGAAUUGACGGGGGCCCGCACAAGCGGUGGAGCAUGUGGUUUAAUUCGAUGCAACGCGAAGAACCUUACCUACUCUUGACAUCCAGAGAAGCCAGCGGAGACGCAGGUGUGCCUUCGGGAGCUCUGAGACAGGUGCUGCAUGGCUGUCGUCAGCUCGUGUUGUGAAAUGUUGGGUUAAGUCCCGCAACGAGCGCAACCCUUAUCCUUGUUUGCCAGCGAGUAAUGUCGGGAACUCCAGGGAGACUGCCGGUGAUAAACCGGAGGAAGGUGGGGACGACGUCAAGUCAUCAUGGCCCUUACGAGUAGGGCUACACACGUGCUACAAUGGCGCAUACAGAGGGCAGCAAGCUAGCGAUAGUGAGCGAAUCCCAAAAAGUGCGUCGUAGUCCGGAUUGGAGUCUGCAACUCGACUCCAUGAAGUCGGAAUCGCUAGUAAUCGUAGAUCAGAAUGCUACGGUGAAUACGUUCCCGGGCCUUGUACACACCGCCCGUCACACCAUGGGAGUGGGCUGCAAAAGAAGUGGGUAGUUUAACCUUUCGGGGAGGACGCUCACCACUUUGUGGUUCAUGACUGGGG
rnacentral:rRNA from 1 species